rnacentral:rRNA from 1 species
CGCGGCCUAUCAGCUUGUUGGUGGGGUAAUGGCCUACCAAGGCGACGACGGGUAGCCGGCCUGAGAGGGUGACCGGCCACACUGGGACUGAGACACGGCCCAGACUCCUACGGGAGGCAGCAGUGGGGAAUAUUGCACAAUGGGCGCAAGCCUGAUGCAGCGACGCCGCGUGAGGGAUGACGGCCUUCGGGUUGUAAACCUCUUUCAGUAGGGAAGAAGCGAAAGUGACGGUACCUGCAGAAGAAGCGCCGGCUAACUACGUGCCAGCAGCCGCGGUAAUACGUAGGGCGCGAGCGUUAUCCGGAAUUAUUGGGCGUAAAGAGCUCGUAGGCGGUUUGUCGCGUCUGCCGUGAAAGUCCGGGGCUUAACCCCGGAUCUGCGGUGGGUACGGGCAGACUAGAGUGCAGUAGGGGAGACUGGAAUUCCUGGUGUAGCGGUGAAAUGCGCAGAUAUCAGGAGGAACACCGAUGGCGAAGGCAGGUCUCUGGGCUGUUACUGACGCUGAGGAGCGAAAGCAUGGGGAGCGAACAGGAUUAGAUACCCUGGUAGUCCAUGCCGUAAACGUUGGGCACUAGGUGUGGGGGACAUUCCACGUUUUCCGCGCCGCAGCUAACGCAUUAAGUGCCCCGCCUGGGGAGUACGG